AUUGAACGCUGGCGGCAUGCUUUACACAUGCAAGUCGAACGGCAGCGCGGGCUUCGGCCUGGCGGCGAGUGGCGAACGGGUGAGUAAUGCAUCGGAACGUGCCCAGUAGUGGGGGAUAGCCCUGCGAAAGCCGGAUUAAUACCGCAUACGACCUGAGGGUGAAAGCGGGGGACCGAAAGGCCUCGCGCUAUUGGAGCGGCCGAUGUCGGAUUAGCUAGUUGGUGGGGUAAAGGCUUACCAAGGCGACGAUCCGUAGCUGGUCUGAGAGGACGACCAGCCACACUGGGACUGAGACACGGCCCAGACUCCUACGGGAGGCAGCAGUGGGGAAUUUUGGACAAUGGGGGCAACCCUGAUCCAGCCAUGCGGCGUGCGGGAAGAAGGCCUUCGGGUUGUAAACCGCUUUUGUUCGGGAAGAAAUCCUCUGGGCUAAUACCCCGGGGGGAUGACGGUACCGGAAGAAUAAGCACCGGCUAACUACGUG
rnacentral:rRNA from 1 species